GAGUUUGAUCAUGGCUCAGGAUGAACGCUAGCGAUAGGCCUAACACAUGCAAGUCGAGGGGCAGCAUAGAGUAGCAAUACUUUGAUGGCGACCGGCGCACGGGUGAGUAACACGUAUGCAACCUACCUACAUCAGGGGAAUAACCCGGAGAAAUUCGGACUAAUACCGCAUAAUACAGGGAUGCCGCAUGGCAAUAUUUGUUAAAGAUUUAUCGGAUGUAGAUGGGCAUGCGUUCCAUUAGCUAGUUGGUAAGGUAACGGCUUACCAAGGCAACGAUGGAUAGGGGAACUGAGAGGUUUGUCCCCCACACUGGAACUGAGACACGGACCAGACUCCUACGGGAGGCAGCAGUGAGGAAUAUUGGUCAAUGGACGAGAGUCUGAACCAGCCAAAUCGCGUGAAGGAAGACUGCCCUACGGGUUGUAAACUUCUUUUGUACAGGAAUAAAAGACAUUACGUGUAAUGUAUUGCAUGUACUGUACGAAUAAGCAUCGGCUAACUCCGUGCCAGCAGCCGCGGUAAUAC
rnacentral:rRNA from 1 species